rnacentral:rRNA from 1 species
AGUGAACGCUGGCGGCAUGCUUUACACAUGCAAGUCGAACGGCAGCACGGGCAGCGGCCUCUCUUCCGGUUGCGGACGGGUGGAUGAGUGAGCAGAACAUGGGCAUUAAUUUGGUAGAGGGGGACGAAGGCCGGAUUAAUACCGCAUACGACCUUACGGUGUAAGCGUGGGAGCGAAAGGCCUCGCGCCAUUGGACGAGCCGAUGUCGGAUUAGCUAGUUGGUGGGGUAAAGGCGUACCAAGGCGACGAUCCGUAGCUGGUCUGAGAGGAUGACCAGCCACACUGGGACUGAGACACGGUCCAGACUCCUACGGGAGGCAGCAGUGGGGAAUAUUGGACAAUGGGCGCAAGCCUGAUCCAGCCAUGCCGCGUGAGGGAAGAAGGCCUUCGGGUUGUAAAACGCUUUUGUUCGGGAAGAAAUCCUGUGGGUUAAUACCCCGGUGUGAUGACGGUACCGGAAGAAUAAGCACCGGCUAACUACGUG